AACUGCACAGCUGUGAAAUUAAGAUUUGCAGAGCAUGUUUGUUGAUGGAUGCCAGACCAGCAACCUAACAUUAGUGGUUAUGAAUGUGGAGAUGCAAGCAAUGUGCUGAAACUCUAUCUACAAGGGAGCACUAUAGAGCCUAUGAGUUGCAUCCAACAAGAGAGCUGGUGAUUCUGGAUGUGAAGGAGCUUGCUGACCCAUACCCUUUGGCUGACUAUAAUGUUGGAUCCAUACGAAUGGUGACAUUAAAGAGAUUUGUACAUGUGACGGAUUAAAUACAAGAUGGCUGCAACUAUAAGAGUUGUACUUGGAGUAAAUGAUGCAUCCAAACUGGCUCUUCCAACUGGAAUACCAGGUUCAGUGGCAGACCUUAAAGAAGAGAUUAAAAGACAUUUUGGCUUGUCAGGAAACUUUAGACUUCAGUACAGAGACACUGAAUUUGACAAUGAGUUUGUGAACUUGUCAUGUACUUCAGACAUCAAAGACAAGAGCACAGUGAAGAUAAUUUACUUAACAAAUGAUACAAAUGCGUCUCUACCUCACCAUGAGCCCACUGCUUCACCUCAAGGAGUUGAUAAUACGUCUUUAUCAUCUUUUUCAUCAACAUCAGACACUGACAUACUAUCCUCCCCUGGAUCUUCUGCAUCUGCAUCUUCGGGGUCCUCCCUCAGAUCACAGCCAUGGCCUCAUACCUUCCCACUACCUCAGUUCAAUUAUGAGGUUGACGUUC